AGGGAGAGAGGGAGGGAGAGAGAGAGGGAGGGAGAGAGAGAGAGGAGAUAUUUAUUAAUGAUUGAUACACAAAUCAAGAUUGAUUCAGGCAUGCUUGAAGCACUCUUGGGCACUAUGGAAAGCUCCUUCUUGAUGGGAAGUCCAACAUGGUCCAGGAGAAGGGUUGGCUGUGGCUCUUGUCCUUUGGAACAUCUCACCCCUUGAGGUAAGAUGGGCCCCCAUCCUUCUGACCUCUGCCAGGACCCGAGGACCUGACGGUGCCAGAUGAUCUGGGUUCCCAACGAGGGAGCAUCAUCACCCUGGAGAUGGCUGAUGAGUUAAGAGGUAAUCCCAUCUCCUUCCCAUGCAUCGCAGGCAUACAGA